GCUUUUUCCUAGCUAAAUUUAGAGUAAUUUUGAACUUAGAAGUCGGGAGGAUUCACGCCGGAUAUAAAGAAAAUGAAUUUAUUUUUAAUUCCAACAAAAAUGAUUUACAAAAACAUUUAUAAAUUUAGUUAUUGAAUUUAUGUGCGUCGCAUAUUUAUUUAAAGCAUUUUCACGAGCUUUUAGUCAGCAAACCCUGAAGAAUUAUUACAGUUUUUAUAGUACAACCCGGAAGAUUUUUUUUAUUUUAUUUUAUUUUAUUUUAUUCCACUACUCCCACCUACUCUCCACCUUUCCUCCCACUUUCCCUUCCACUACUCCCACCACCAACUUCCACUGCACCUUUCCUUCCACUUAUUCCAUCAACCACCGACUCCCUCACAAUUUUAUAUCACCUUCCCUUUACACCACUAUACCAACUAAAACAUUUUAUAUCAGCUAAGGGAAGCUUUAACUCUGUUUCAAACAAAUCACCACAAUUUAUUCUCACAAGAAAAACGCAGAUGGAGGGCCUUAUUCACCAAAUUCCCUCUUUCAAGAACAGAACUUGAACUUACAAAGUUUUUGUUGCUGCAUGCUUUCACACCACAAGAAGCUUGGUUUUAAAGGACUCUCCCUCAACAGAUCAACAAAUCAGUAUCACAAGGUUUUCUCCACACUGAAUAGAUCCUAGACCUUGCCUUAAAUAUUUAUUUUCGCAACAAUUGUUUUAGAACUCAA
rnacentral:lncRNA from 1 species